rnacentral:rRNA from 1 species
GAUGAACGCUGGCGGCGUGCCUAAUACAUGCAAGUCGAGCGAACAGACGAGGAGCUUGCUCCUCUGACGUUAGCGGCGGACGGGUGAGUAACACGUGGAUAACCUACCUAUAAGACUGGGAUAACUUCGGGAAACCGGCGCUAAUACCGGAUAAUAUAUUGAACCGCAUGGUUCAAUAGUGAAAGACGGUUUUGCUGUCUCUUAUAGAUGGAUCCGCGCCGCAUUAGCUAGUUGGUAAGGUAACGGCUUACCAAGGCGACGAUGCGUAGCCGACCUGAGAGGGUGAUCGGCGACACUGGAGCUGAGACACGGUCCAGACUCCUACGGGAGGCAGCAGUAGGGAAUCUGCCGCAAUGGGCGAAAGCCUGACGGAGCAACGCCGCGUGAGUGAUGAAGGUCUUCGGAUCGUAAAACUCUGUUAUUAGGGAAGAACAAAUGUGUAAGUAACUAUGCACGUCUUGACGGUACCUAAUCAGAAAGCCACGGCUAACUACGUG